AGUGAACGCUGGCGGUAGGCCUAACACAUGCAAGUCGAACGGCAGCACAGUAAGAGCUUGCUCUUACGGGUGGCGAGUGGCGGACGCGUGAGGAAUACAUCGGAAUCUACUUUUUCGUGGGGGAUAACGUAGGGAAACUUACGCUAAUACCGCAUACGACCUACGGGUGAAAGCAGGGGAUCUUCGGACCUUGCGCUAUUGAAUGAGCCGAUGUCGGAUUAGCUAGUUGGCGGGGUAAAGGCCCACCAAGGCGACGAUCCGUAGCUGGUAUGAGAGGAUGAACAGCCACACUGGAAGUGAGACACGGUCCAGACUCCUACGGGAGGCAGCAGUGGGGAAUAUUGGACAAGGGACGCAAGCCUGAUCCAGCCAUACCGCGUGGGUGAAGAAGGCCUUCGGGUUGUAAAGCCCUUUUGUUGGGAAAGAAAAGCAGCAGGUUAAUACCCCGCUGUUCUGACGGUACCCAAAGAAUAAGCACCGGCUAACUUCGUG
rnacentral:rRNA from 1 species